CAUCUCGGCUUUGUGUUCGAGCGAUAGUUCCUUGAACUCGAAGGUCUUGCCCGG
rnacentral:sRNA from 1 species